CAGUAGCGGGGCCUUUUCGGCUGGGUUCGCGGUCCUAUAAGGCGCUGCUUGUUUAAGUACAUCGCAUUUAGUUGGAGCUGCAGGGGAGUGAGGGAGAGGAGGAUAGGAAGGAGGAGAGCGGGAGAGCUUGAGGGAGAACGGGGCUUGCUGUGUUUACACUAGGCACAGGCUACGAGCGCCCAUCCCUGUCCCUGGCUCGCGCUCUCGAAGAGGAGAGCAAGGCUGCUCUGGGAUCCGGCCGUCGUGCGGCAGGAGCUUCGUCUGUCCGGGUUGCCCAAGCCGGGAGAGCCCAGAGGGAAACCGAGGGAAACGAGCGACGCGUUUUACUAGAGAGAGCGCGAGCGGAAGAGGCGAGAGCCGGAGCGCGCGAGGGAGCAUCGAGCGCGGCGGAGACAUGAGGACCUACUGGCUGCACAGCGUCUGGGUGCUGGGCUUCUUCCUGUCCCUCUUCUCAUUGCAAGGUAAGUGAAACCAGUUUCUACAACACAUGGUUACUGGACUCUGUCAGCAUAUAGUGACUUUUUCCACUUAAUAUACCACAAGGAGACAUCCCAGUAUCUUCUGUCGCUCCUAUUUGGCUUGUGAGUCUUUACCCAAAAGUGGUAUAUAACCAAUAAGUAACCUAGGACUAAGAAAUAUUUAAGUGAUUAUAUUUAUAAUCUAUAUAUAAUGUUCAGUUACAACUUUCUUUAAGGUAAGUGAACUUAUUUAAAUCUUGCUUUGACUCAUAGAAGAACUAAAGGUAAUAUAUCCAUGUUGAAUUUCCAUUCAAAAUCAUUCUUCUCUAAUGUGUUUUUCCUUAUUCGAUUUACAUUAAAUAAAAUUGGGGGUAUCUUAAGGUAUGUGUCUCUUUGAUCAUUUGAGGUACAAUUCUGUGUACAUGUUGGUACUUUUCUUUUGUUCCAUUUCUCCCUAAAAGAUAGACUCAAAAGUAUGGCAUUGGCAUGAUUUUUGGUGUGCUCUGGAGUGUAGGAUAUUAAAAUACAUGGUUGCUUUCAUCCAAAUCUACUCUGAGGUCAGGUCAGUGUUUUAAACUUGCAGAAAAUGAGUUCUUAGCAGUGCAGUGUUGAGAAGGAUUUAUUAAUAGUCGGCAAGAUGGAAGAUAACUAGUAAAAGAGGGAAAAGAAUACUUGGGAACUCCCAAGUAAAUAUUUGAACAGUGACUGCUCCUAGAAAAUUGGCAGUGAGUCUUUUUGGCUUCUCUCUGGGUUUAGCCAUUCUCUUGGCUUUUCAUACUUAGCAAUUCUUCAAUUCCUUAUCCUGCUUUCCAAAUUCAGUUUGUGUUUUCAGCAUAGAAUGAAUCAUCCAUGUUGUAUUUGGCUGUUUGCAUUUACUGUGGGCAUCUCAGAUGUUCCAACAAAUUGACUUGUGUGUCACUUGUGUGUAAUUUUCCCUUUACAAAGAAGUUACAAACCUUCUUAUUCAUAAUAAUUAUCCUAGCUGAUGGAGCUCAUCAAGGCAGCCCCUCUGCUCACCUCAUGGGGACAGAUUAUUCUGAGGUGCUGCCGAUUCCUUGUUUGAAUUCUGCCAUCAAUAUCCAUGUGUGAAAUUAUUAAUUGCAAAGCACAAUGGAAUGGUCUUACAGCAAAAGAUUGAACAGUUUUACUUGAAGGUCACUGUCAGAAUUGGCCCUCUGUGAUACAUUAUUCUAAACUAAACAUUUCAUUUUAUUUCAUUGUUAAUUGAGUGCCUCAGUUAAUGAUUUACUACUGUGUCAAAACGCGUCUUGCUAUCUAUGGAAAAUGUAGGCUAGACAUGUUGUUGUGCAUUGUGUAGCUUUGAAUUUCAGAAGUGGAAAUGGCCAAAGCACCUCUGCCUUAAAA